GACUGACUCGAUCGAUUUGAUCCCAAUUUUUUUUUUAUGAUAUAAAAUCGAUCGUGCUCAGUUGAUCUUUUUGCACCAAAACAGGGAAAAUAAAACACCACCGAGCUUGGUUGUUUACAUAUUCCGCAAAAAUGUUUUUGGUAUAAUCGAUUGGGCUCGGUCGAUUUUAUUUAAAUUCGUAAGCCGACCAGCUCGAUCGUUCUUUCUGAUCAAAACUUUGGUCAAACUUUUCAAUAAAGAUAUCAAAUAACCGACCGAGCUUAGUCAGUUUUUUAUUUUCACGAUUUUGGCACAUAAAAAAACGACCUAGAUCAGUCUGUUUUAUUUUUUAAAAAAAAAUUGAGAGCAACCCGACCUAGUCUGUCUCGAUCGGUUAAAAAAUCAAUCCAUUUUUGUCGUGUUUUUUUAUUUAUUUUUAUUUUUUAUAGUCACAAUUAUUUUUAAAUCUAUUUUGUUAGUUGGAUCAAAGGUGCUUCAUUAUUAACAUGCUCAAGGUUAUAUUUUGAAAAACCAAAAUAAACCUAUAAUUUUGAUUAAAUACAAUCAUAUUUUAGAUUCAAGAAAGUAGAGAAGGAGCCAUGGGCGAUCUACUCUCAUGGCUUCUUUCCUUCUUCCUUCUCGUCGCUGUUCUCGCCAUAGUUCUCUACCAGGUCAUGUCCUUGGCGGACCUUGAAAGUGAUUAUGUCAACCCUUAUGAUUCAGCAUCCGAGAUUAACAGACUUGUGGUUCCAGAAUUUAUUCUUCAAGGAGCACUAUGCUUCCUACAUCUUGUGAUGGGUCAUUGGUUAAUGUGUCUGAUCUGUCUCCCGUACUUAUAUUAUGAUGUCAAAGUAUAUACUGAUCGUCGCCACUUGCUAGAUGUAACUGAGAUUUUCAAUCAGCUACCAUGGGAAAAAAAGAUUCGUUUGUAUAAGCUUGGAUACCUCGGGAUAGUCCUUGUCUUUUCUAUAAUCUGUAUGAUCUGGAGCAUUGUGGCCGAAUGAAGAAUGAGGAAUUGCUGAUCUCACCGAGGUUUUCUAGUUCCCUCUCUGUUGUAUAGCAUUUGCAAAGAAAAAGAUGGACGUCAACUUGGUACUACUGAAGAUGCAUAUUUUCUUGAACUCAUGAUGGAUGAGCUUUAAGUCAUGGUCUAGAUUUUUGUACUUGUAUUAGGCAAGUUUCAAACUUUCAUCUGUAUCAUUAUGCAACAAGUGGUGGAACACUUUUCUAAAUAAGCUAUUUCUUUACAUGCAAAGCAAGUAUACUUCAAAUCUUGCUAAAUCAAAUUAUUGAUUCUGUUAAGUAACUUUUACUUGAUCCCUUGAA